AGCUGAAGUAUACUUUUCUUUUAUUUCUAGGCAUUCAACACCUUUAUUGAUGAUAUAUUUGCUUUUAUCAUCACUAUGCCAACAUCUCAUAGGCUGGCAUGCUUUAGAGACGAUGUUGUGUUCCUGGUCUAUCUCUACCAAAGAUGGCUUUAUCCUGUGGAUAAGAGCAGAGUAAAUGAGUAUGGAGAAUCUUAUGAAGAAAAGUCGAAAAAAAAAAGCUCAUAGA